CCUGUGUGGGGAGGCUCUUUGAUUCCUGGGGAGGAAGGCUAGAGAACAGGCAGCUCUUUUCUCUCUGCUAGAAAAGAGGAGGCGGCUCCUCACAAGGUUCCUUCCCACAGCUGAGCACUGCCCACAGCUGCCCUUGCCCCUGCCUUUCCACGUUGCACAAGCCCAGCGCACGGUACCCACUGGAUAUGCCCGAGGCCUCCAGAGGAAAGGAAAGGAGGAAAAGGGACAGAAGAAAUGUUCACAGGAACUGCAUAUGGGCCUGCUACUUGUGUCAAAAUGUGACUGAACUCUCUUCCAGCAGGUGUGGGGAAAAGAGUGACUUCACCUUAAAUGUUAACCUGCCAUGUAACUUCUGACUAAUCCCAGGUCCAGAAAUGCCUCCAAAUGUCUCGUUGCUGUAUUACUCUUUAUGUGGAAACACCUGUUCACUGCUAUUUCACUGAACUGAAGCAGUCAAAAGAGAAUGCUCAUGAGAUCCCAUCACCACCACUUUACCGAACUACUUCCAUAUUGUGAAUCCCUGGAAGGCAAGAUCGCCAUUCUGGUCUCUUGUGGAUAUCAAUGCUGAUCUCAGCUUCUGAUGCACGGCAGUCAAUUAAUAAAUGAUUGUUGCCUGAAAAACUGAGCCCCAAAACAAUAUUACAAGUUUAAUAUCAGUAAAGGAUUUAAUGCUUUCUAACAUGAAGAUACCAGAUCUUUUCUAUUCCUGGACUUUUAGAGUUGCUGAUUUUUGUAUAACCCAGAGAUGGAUUUAAAUGCAGAGUGUAUGAACUUCUUCAUUCCUGAGGGAGGACUUAUGAUUUCAUGAGAAAUGCCCUAGGAAAGGGGCCGGGGAGACUGAUGGAGAAGAAGAGUUUGGGAGGGAAGCCCCAAGGACCAUCUGCCCCAUCAGAGUCACAUGCAGAGGGUCCUGCUCCUGCCGUUGGAAGUUGGCUUCCUGAGCUGCUGAACGUGCCAGUCCUGCUGACCCACUCUCAGAUAUCACAGGCACCCGCUGUGUCUGACAGAGACCUUUCUGCAAGUACACGUGCAGGUCUGCUCUGCAAAGGCGUUAUCAUCUGCAGAUUAUUGCACAGAGUGGCUACGAGCUGUGGUGUGAUCCUGUCACAGAGAGAGCCUGGUCACGUUUUCAGAACAGCAGGAAACAGGUACACCUGUAAGCUUAUACUUAUCAGAUUUAAAAAUAAAACAAAAAAUCCAUGCUAUUCCAUGAAAAUCGGACUCAAAUAAACUUAGUCACUGAUCUGUGAAGUAAAUAAUCUGAUGGUAAUGCAUCAGUUGACACUUGGGCCUGGGUUUUUAGGCACUAAUGAAAGCCAGGGGCAAAAUAAUUUUUAAUCUACCAUUAUUUCCCUUGAUGGUUC
rnacentral:lncRNA from 1 species